ACGCUGGCGGCAGGCUUAACACAUGCAAGUCGAACGGUAACAGGGAUUAGCUUGCUAAUCUGCUGACGAGUGGCGGACGGGUGAGUAAUGCUUGGGAAUCUGGCUUAUGGAGGGGGAUAACUACGGGAAACUGUAGCUAAUACCGCGUAAAAUCUUCGGAUUAAAGGGUGGGACUUUCGAGCCACCUGCCAUAAGAUGAGCCCAAGUGGGAUUAGGUAGUUGGUUAGGUAAAGGCUGACCAAGCCAACGAUCUCUAGCUGGUCUGAGAGGAUGACCAGCCACACUGGAACUGAGACACGGUCCAGACUCCUACGGGAGGCAGCAGUGGGGAAUAUUGCACAAUGGGGGGAACCCUGAUGCAGCCAUGCCGCGUGAAUGAAGAAGGCCUUCGGGUUGUAAAGUUCUUUCGGUGACGAGGAAGGUUGAUAGGUUAAUAGCCUAUCAAAUUGACGUUAAUCACAGAAGAAGCACCGGCUAACUCCGUGCCAGCAGCCGCGGUAAUACGGGGGGUGCGAGCGUUAAUCGGAAUAACUGGGCGUAAAGGGCACGCAGGCGGUGACUUAAGUGAGAUGUGAAAGCCCCGAGCUUAACUUGGGAAUUGCAUUUCAUACUGGGUCGCUAGAGUACUUUAGGGAUGGGUAGAAUUCCACGUGUAGCGGUGAAAUGCGUAGAGAUGUGGAGGAAUACCGAAGGCGAAGGCAGCCCCUUGGGAAUGUACUGACGCUCAUGUGCGAAAGCGUGGGGAGCAAACAGGAUUAGAUACCCUGGUAGUCCACGCUGUAAACGAUGUCGAUUUGGGGAUUGGGCUUUGAGCUUGGUGCCCGUAGCUAACGUGAUAAAUCGACCGCCUGGGGAGUACGGCCGCAAGGUUAAAACUCAAAUGAAUUGACGGGGGCCCGCACAAGCGG
rnacentral:rRNA from 1 species